GCGCAGCAGGCGAGAAUCCUCCGCAAUGCGGGAAACCGUGACGGGGUCACCCCGAGUGCCACCCGAUGAGGGUGGCUUUUCCCCGGUCUAAAAAGCCGGGGCAAUAAGCGGGGGGCAAGUCUGGUGUCAGCCGCCGCGGUAAUACCAGCCCCGCGAGUGGUCGGGACGUUUAUUGGGCCUAAAGCGUCCGUAGCCGGCUCGGUAAGUCCCUCCUUAAAUCCACGGGCUCAACCCGUGGGCUGGGAGGGAUACUGCCGGGCUAGGGGGCGGGAGAGGCCGAGGGUACUCCCGGGGUAGGGGCGAAAUCCGUUAAUCCCGGGAGGACCACCAGUGGCGAAGGCGCUCGGCUGGAACGCGCCCGACGGUGAGGGACGAAAGCUGGGGGAGCAAAGGGGAUUAGAUA
rnacentral:rRNA from 1 species